rnacentral:rRNA from 1 species
GAUGAACGCUGGCGGCGUGCCCAAUACAUGCAAGUCGAGCGAAUGGAUUAAGAGCUUGCUCUUAUGAAGUUAGCGGCGGACGGGUGAGUAACACGUGGGUAACCCGCCCAUAAGACUGGGAUAACUCCGGGAAACCGGGGCUAAUACCGGAUAACAUUUUGAACCGCAUGGUUCGAAAUUGAAAGGCGGCUUCGGCUGUCACUUAUGGAUGGACCCGCGUCGCAUUAGCUAGUUGGUGAGGUAACGGCUCACCAAGGCAACGAUGCGUAGCCGACCUGAGAGGGUGAUCGGCCACACUGGGACUGAGACACGGCCCAGACUCCUACGGGAGGCAGCAGUAGGGAAUCUUCCGCAAUGGACGAAAGUCUGACGGAGCAACGCCGCGUGAGUGAUGAAGGCUUUCGGGUCGUAAAACUCUGUUGUUAGGGAAGAACAAGUGCUAGUUGAAUAAGCUGGCACCUUGACGGUACCUAACCAGAAAGCCACGGCUAACUACGUGCCAGCCGCCGCCGUAA